rnacentral:rRNA from 1 species
AUGAGCUUUCUACUACUAAUAUUGAAUAUAUCAUUGCAAAAUGAAACUAUUUUCAUCGACAACAUGGUUUUAGUGGGUCUUUGCGCCAUUUGGCGCAACGGGUCAACUAGUUUUCAUCAGAAACAGAACUAUUUUCCUCGAUUGAGGGGUUGGCACUUGAGGGAGUCCUGGAUAAGGGGGUAUCCAGGCAGCCGGACUAUAUACAUCGUCCGGACUAUAGAAGCGUCAAGAUACAAGACUCAAGACUUCGGCUCGUGUCCGGAUGGGACUCUCCUUUGUGUGGAAGACAAGCUUGGCAACACGGAUAUUAUGUUUCCUUCCUUGUAA